rnacentral:rRNA from 1 species
GAUGAACGCUGGCGGCGUGCCUAACACAUGCAAGUUGAGCGAUCUUCUUCGGAAGAGAGCGGCGGACGGGUGAGUAACGCGUGGGUAACCUGCCCUGUACACACGGAUAACAUACCGAAAGGUAUGCUAAUACGAGAUAACAUACUUUUAUCGCAUGGUAGAAGUAUCAAAGCUCUGGCGGUACAGGAUGGACCCGCGUCUGAUUAGCUAGUUGGUGAGGUAAUGGCUCACCAAGGCGACGAUCAGUAGCCGACCUGAGAGGGUGAUCGGCCACAUUGGAACUGAGACACGGUCCAAACUCCUACGGGUGGCAG